UACCAGCACCCCGAGUGGUCGGGACGAUUAUUGGGCCUAAAGCAUCCGUAGCCGGUCCUACAAGUCUUCCGUUAAAUCCACCUGCUUAACAGAUGGGCUGCGGAAGAUACUAUAGGGCUAGGAGGCGGGAGAGGCAAGCGGUACUCAGUGGGUAGGGGUAAAAAUCCUCUGAUCCAUUGAAGACCACCAGUGGCGAAGGCGGCUU
rnacentral:rRNA from 1 species